CUUCCGGUUUCCUGUGCGCCACACGGCUCUUCCGGGCCGGGCUCUCCGCGUUGAACUGGUCCAGCCAGGGUAGACGCUUGUCCCGGAGAUGCAAGGCCACCUGCUCGUAUCUGGUUGCAAUGGACCUGGCUUCUGGUCCUUCCCCAGGAGAAGGCACGGGGCAUGCCGCUGAGAGCAGACAGGUUGAGUGAAGACAUGGAGGACCGCCUUCGGCAUGUUACUAAACAGUGUGAACAGACCGUACCUGCACCUUCUCAUAAGGAACCUCAUCGUAGACACGGGGCUCCGGCCACUGAUCCUGGCAGGAUCGUGCAUACCUAGAACAUGAAAGCCCGGGGACCACACCAAGUGGGAUGGAAAUGGCCGGCGAGAAUACUACAGAAGAUGUACAAAAGCUACACCUGCCGUUUCCAUUCCCCAUUAACGACGCUGACUUUGUUACCGAAGGACAGAAAAUGAUGGCCAAUGCUGGCACCUAGCGGCAGCAUGGAGAAACGCCACCGUCUAGCCAUGACAGAGGAACCAGGACUCUGAGUCAGGACUUACCACAGCAUGGAACCUCAUUCUCACUGGGAAACGUCUGCAGGUCCUCGGCCAGCGCCUUCUUCUUGGAGAAACUGAUGAUGCGCGUGAUCUUUCGGCCCGCAGCCCUGCUCAUGGAGCCCUUUAGCUCAGCGAGGCUAUUCUUCUUCCCUUUGCCUGGUGGUACAGGAGUGGAUCACAGGGGAUAGGGAAGGAGGCCAUGGUCCCACCCAUCUCUGGCCUUCCCAGCAGCCCCUGCAACCCGCGCACAGGGACCAGCCUGUAAUUCCGGAUACAAAAGGCCCGGUGGCCUUGCUCAGGUCCCCAGGCUCUACCACGGUGUGCCUGUGGCAAAGUCCCUCCCGUCUCUGACUAGUGGAAGCUCCUACCAUGUUCACAGGCUUCUCGGCGGCCGAGGGUGGAGCUGUUGUCGUUCACGCCCAGGCUGUCAGAGUCUGAGUUCUGUUUCUCCUGGGACGAUCUCUGGGGAAGGACAUAGACAGCCUCACGUCAGCGGGACUCUCAGAAGGACUGCCUCCUUCACCCAGUCUUCUUCCAGUCCUCCAAGCAACAGCUUUCAGGUACCUGAUACCACACCAAUAUGAUCAGGGAGGUAGCAGUGACUGACACAUGGUCACGCCUUCAGGUUACACUCUCCUGGGAGAGUGGGGCCAUUAAUUAUGUCCUGGAAUAUGCACUGUAUGGCGAGUGAUAGGGAGCAGGGCAAGCAUUUAAGGAGGGUGUGAAUGUAAUCCAGUAGCACUGUAGGGGUGGACAAGAGGGGGUGACCCUGGAUGCUAAAGAGCCCCCGGGCAAGCUGAUCAGGAUGAAGUUCCAGAAAGGGAUGAACCAAGGUGACAGCAUUCAGGCAUAGGGGGAUGCUAAAACAUGUUUUCAAAGGAGUCAUGAUAAGACCUGAUGAUCAGUAGACACCCGCUAAAAUUCUACCUUGAAUGAGAGGAUGAAGGAACACACACACACACACACACACACACACACACACACACCCCCUUGAUCGCCAUCUAUUGUUUUUACUAAUUAUACCAACUGUGAAACAAUCGUACCUUCAUUGAUUCAUUGAUAAAUUCAUACGCUCCAAAGGAGGCAGGGCCGAAAUUAUGGAAGAAA